AACAGGAUUAGAUACCCUGGUAGUCCACGCCCUAAACGAUGUCAACUAGGUGUUGGGUGGGUAAAACCAUUUAGUACCGGAGCUAACGCGUGAAGUUGACCGCCUGGGGAGUACGGCCGCAAGGUUAAAACUCAAAGGAAUUGACGGGGACCCGCACAAGCGGUGGAUGAUGUGGAUUAAUUCGAUGCAACGCGAAAAACCUUACCUACCCUUGACAUGUCCAGAAGCUCUUAGAGAUUUGAGUGUGCCCGAAAGGGAACUGGAACACAGGUGCUGCAUGGCUGUCGUCAGCUCGUGUCGUGAGAUGUUGGGUUAAGUCCCGCAACGAGCGCAACCCUUGUCGUUAAUUGCCAUCAUUCAGUUGGGCACUUUAACGAGACUGUCGGUGACAAACCGGAGGAAGGUGGGGAUGACGUCAAGUCCUCAUGGCCCUUAUAGGUGGGGCUACACACGUCAUACAAUGGCUGGU
rnacentral:rRNA from 1 species